rnacentral:lncRNA from 1 species
GCUGAUGGAGAGACAGAAAGCACGCAACUGGAAAAAUUGAGACGUGGAAUUUGUGGAUUAAAUGGUCACCAAUUGUUUCAGCAUUGCGUAUUGAAUAAUACAACCUUCUUCCACUGCCGUGAAAUGUCAACAGCUGCUCUCCCACUAGAUAGGGCGUAGCUUUCCACAGACGUGAAAACAUCGCUGUGGUCCAUCUCUAUUUACUGCAAGUGGAAGGGUCAAGACAGGAAACAUAGAGGCUUUUAGUAGGAGGACCUGAGAUUGAAGUAGCCGCAGUGCAAGACGGAAAGAGGGCUUCGUGCACGGUGUGCAUUUGCCACCUAGUGACCACAUUGAGUUUAUUGCGCUCGAGUGAAAACUGUGAUUAAUAUUGGUGACAGCUGGAAAACCUUCGGACGUCC